GGGGAAUUUUGGACAAUGGGGGAAACCCUGAUCCAGCCAUGCCGCGUGAGUGAAGAAGGCCUUCGGGUUGUAAAGCUCUUUCGGCUGGGAAGAAAUCGCACAGGCUAAUACUCUGUGUGGAUGACGGUACCAGCACAAGAAGCACCGGCUAACUACGUGCCAGCAGCCGCGGUAAUACGUAGGGUGCGAGCGUUAAUCGGAAUUACUGGGCGUAAAGCGUGCGCAGGCGGUUGUGCAAGACAGAUGUGAAAUCCCCGGGCUCAACCUGGGAACUGCAUUUGUGACUGCACGACUAGAGUACGGCAGAGGGGGGUAGAAUUCCACGUGUAGCAGUGAAAUGCGUAGAGAUGUGGAGGAAUACCGAUGGCGAAGGCAGCCCCCUGGGUCGAUACUGACGCUCAUGCACGAAAGCGUGGGGAGCAAAC
rnacentral:rRNA from 1 species